AACCACAGAUAUAGACAUUUCAUCCUCUAUUGCACAAACUUGUUGUUGUUGAUAAAGAGGUCUCUUUGCUUCAACCUCUCAAUUUUACUGAAAAAAUUUGUUUUCCUUUUUUUUGUUUUUACUUUUUCAAAAAGCUCUAAAGUUCUUUGGCUCUGAAGCUCUGAGGUUCUCUGACUCUAAAGCUUAGAGUUGUUAUGCC
rnacentral:lncRNA from 1 species